rnacentral:rRNA from 1 species
GUCGGUGACCAGACGUGUGGGGAAACACCCGUUCCCAUUCCGAACACGGAAGUUAAGCCCACGCGGCCGAUGGUAGUCGAAAGGCGAGAGUAGGUGAUUGCCGACA